rnacentral:misc_RNA from 1 species
GAUGAAGAACGCAGCGAAAUGCGAUAAGUAAUGUGAAUUGCAGAAUUCAGUGAAUCAUCGAAUCUUUGAACGCACAUUGCGCCCGCCAGUAUUCUGGCGAGCAUGCCUGUUCGAGCGUCAUUUCAACCAUCAAGCCCCAGGCUUGUGUUGGAGCCCUGCGGCUGCCGCAGCCUCCCAAAACCAGUGGCGGGCUCGCUAUCACACCGAGUGCAGUAGUCUACUCUUCGCUCAGGGCGUGUGGCGGGUGCUAGCCGUGAAACCCCCAACUUCUCAAGGUUGACCUCGGAUCAGGUAGGAAUACCCGCUGAACUUAAGCAUAUCAAUAAGCGGAGGA